AAACCAACAGGGAUUGCCUUAGUAACGGCGAGUGAAGCGGCAAAAGCUCAAAUUUGAAAUCUAGCACUUUCAGUGUUCGAGUUGUAAUUUGAAGAAGGUAUCUUUGGAGUUGGCCCCUGUCUAUGUUCCUUGGAACAGGACGUCACAGAGGGUGAGAAUCCCGUGCGAUGGGGAGACCAAUUCUAUGUAAAGUUCCUUCGAAGAGUCGAGUUGUUUGGGAAUGCAGCUCUAAGUGGGUGGUAAAUUCCAUCUAAAGCUAAAUAUUGGCGAGAGACCGAUAGCGAACAAGUACAGUGAUGGAAAGAUGAAAAGAACUUUGAAAAGAGAGUGAAAAAGUACGUGAAAUUGUUGAAAGGGAAGGGCUUUUGAUCAGACUUGGUGUUUAGUACUCUCUACUCCUUGUGGGUGGGGCUCUUGCUUUAUACUGGGCCAGCAUCGGUUUGGAUGGCAGGAUAAUGACUUUGGAAUGUGGCUUCAUUCGUGGAGUGUUAUAGCCUUUGUUGAUACUGCCUAUCUAGACCGAGGACUGCGUC
rnacentral:rRNA from 1 species